rnacentral:lncRNA from 14 species
GCCCUGGGAAGCGCAGGUGGAGUCGCUCAGGGCUCCAGCCCUUCCCGCUCCCAGCAGACGGGGGCUCGCAGGGCUGGGGGCUCCUCCUGCUGCUGCGGCUGGUCGGUGCGCCCUCUCCUGGCGCAGGCUCUACACUGGCAUGCAGAGGAACAGUGCCUGGCUAAUGAUGCUGGAGAAGCUAACAGUUAUCCCAGAAGACCAGCAUCCUUGGUACUGGAAAAAGCUCCCAGAAUGGAUGUCAAAUAGUUGUCCCUCCAAAGCAUGGCAGGCAUAUCACCCUUAAGUCAUGGAAAAGAUCCAGUUUGAAUUGAUCUCUGCUAGCUAUUCAGGUACUGUUU